CAGCCGCCGCGGUAAUACGUAGGUGGCAAGCGUUGUCCGGAAUUAUUGGGCGUAAAGGGCUCGCAGGCGGUUUCUUAAGUCUGAUGUGAAAGCCCCCGGCUCAACCGGGGAGGGUCAUUGGAAACUGGGAAACUUGAGUGCAGAAGAGGAAAGUGGAAUUCCACGUGUAGCGGUGAAAUGCGUAGAGAUGUGGAGGAACACCAGUGGCGAAGGCGACUCUCUGGUCUGUAACUGACGCUGAGGAGCGAAAGCGUGGGGAGCGAACAGGAUUAGAUACCCCCGUAGUCCCUGUCUCUUAUAC
rnacentral:rRNA from 1 species